CUGAUGGCGACCGGCGUACGGGUGAGUAACGCGUAUCCAACCUGCCCUUUACUAUGGGACAGCCCGUCGAAAGGCGGAUUAAUACCGUAUGUUGUCAUGUUGAUGCAUAUUUUCAUGACCAAAGGCUUCGGCCGGUAAAGGAUGGGGAUGCGUCUGAUUAGCUUGCCGGCGGGGUAACGGCCCACCGGGGCGACGAUCAGUAGGGGUUCUGAGAGGAAGGUCCCCCACAUUGGAACUGAGACACGGUCCAAACUCCUACGGAAGGCAGCAG
rnacentral:rRNA from 1 species